UGCAAGUGUCUGUUUCCUAAGCUAUGGAAGA
rnacentral:piRNA from 1 species